rnacentral:rRNA from 1 species
AUUUCUGUUAAUAAUUUAUAUAAAAUAUUUUGAAUAUUUAUAUAACAUUAACAUAAUUCAUAUUACUAUAUAUUUUAGUAUAUGAAAUUUUACUUUGAGAAAAUUAGAGUGCUUAAAGCAGGCAUAUGCCUUGAAUACUCCAGCAUGGAAUAAUAUUAAAGAUUUUUAUCUUUUUUAUUGGUUCUAAGAUAAGAAUAAUGAUUAAUAGGGACAGUUGGGGGCAUUUGUAUUUAACAGUCAGAGGUGAAAUUCUUAGAUUUGUUAAAGACAAACUAAUGCGAAAGCAUUUGCCAAGGAUGUUUUCAUUAAUCAAGAACGAAAGUUAGGGGAUCGAAGACGAUCAGAUACCGUCGUAGUCUUAACCAUAAACUAUGCCAACUAGAGAUUGGAGGUUGUUCCUUACUCCUUCAGCACCUUAG